AUCAUGAGGAAUAUCGUGCUUGAUUUGAGUUCACCAAUGGUUAUCUCUACUUGGAUCAUGCCCAUAGCCCUUUGUCCUCCUUGGUUAAAACCUUGGAUUAGCAGACGGCUUAGGGAUAAUUCAUCCACCUUGAUGCCGAUUGUGGUCAUUGUUGACUUUGGCAUGAUGUUUAUGGCCAAUCCACCGUCCACAACAUGCGGUUGUGAGGCCUUAAUCCUAGCAGUAAGUCUUCGUUAGUGAAGUUGAUU
rnacentral:lncRNA from 1 species